UAAUUUACAAGACAGGGAAGGUCGGGCAGGAGCUGCACCAGCCAGGCCAGCUGUGUCUCGGCUGCCCAACUCUGUCUCAUUCCCGCCACAUGCGCUUUCACAGGCACUCUGCCCUGUUGGUCUGUCUGCCUUUGAAUCAGUUCAUUCCCAGUUAAUCUUCUCUAGCCCUAUGCUUAGUUUUAUCAAUUUUAACUACGUCCCUCAGGGUUGCUUUCUGCUUUGCCAAGUUUCCUCUGAAUAACAGACAGAGGCUCCUUUUUACUUUUCAGAGACCCCUUCAGUACCACUGGACGUGUGGGCCACAUCGGCCCUGUUCCCAGUACAAGAAGCUCCAGGAGUGGGUGGAGCUCUUAGGCUGUGGGUUUCUGCUUCCAGGAAACAGCUGGAAGUCAGCAGACCUCCAGAGACCAGGGAGGGAGAAGCUGCAGGGUCAGCCUCACCCCACCUCCUCCCCUGAGAGCCCUCAGCUUGGAUCACCUGGAGAAUGGCCACCUGGUCACCCGUCCCGGGUGAGUGAGGCAGGUGCCUACUCUGUUACAUGACCCUCAGUCACAAAUUCCCAGUCCCGGAGAUCUGUGAGGGGACACUGAACCCAUGCAGGUCACACACCCGGCUUCUGUAUGAACUGCAGAAUUCCUUCAUCAGAUUGCCACUUUAGAAGGAUGGAGGGGAAGACUCAGGACAAGUCCAGGUGGGAGAUGGGAGGGUUCAAGAUCUGAGCUCUCCAUGCACUUGAAGAAAGGGCCUGAUGAUCUCUGCCGCCUUGAUCCAGGCUUGGGUUUAAUGAACCACUGAACUUGGCUGAGCAAGGAGACGUGCACAGAGGGGGACCAAGUAGCCGUGAGGGGGAGACUGAAGAGAGAGGGCAAGAGGGGGGGUGACAGCAGGUGGAUUCAGAAGCCUGGGGAACCAACCUGGGGAAUCAACCUGGGAGGUACAGCCCAGGGAGGGGAGAAGCCCAGGGGCCUGGAGAAGGGCGUGAGUCCUCUCUGGGGAUGGCCCAGCUCUCACCAAGCAGGACACUCCCACCAGAUGCAGCACAGAUGUCCCUUGCUCACCGGGCCAUUUUGACU